UUGUUCCCUUGAGGAGUGGCUUCCGGAGCUAACGCGUUAAGUCGACCGCCUGGGGAGUACGGCCGCAAGGUUAAAACUCAAAUGAAUUGACGGGGGCCCGCACAAGCGGUGGAGCAUGUGGUUUAAUUCGAUGCAACGCGAAGAACCUUACCUACUCUUGACAUCCACCGAAUUUAGCAGAGAUGCUUUAGUGCCUUCGGGAACGGUGAGACAGGUGCUGCAUGGCUGUCGUCAGCUCGUGUUGUGAAAUGUUGGGUUAAGUCCCGCAACGAGCGCAACCCUUAUCCUUUGUUGCCAGCGAUUCGGUCGGGAACUCAAAGGAGACUGCCGGUGAUAAACCGGAGGAAGGUGGGGAUGACGUCAAGUCAUCAUGGCCCUUACGAGUAGGGCUACACACGUGCUACAAUGGCGCAUACAAAGAGAAGCGACCUCGCGAGAGCAAGCGGACCUCACAAAGUGCGUCGUAGUCCGGAUCGGAGUCUGCAACUCGACUCCGUGAAGUCGGAAUCGCUAGUAAUCGUGGAUCAGAAUGCCACGGUGAAUACGUUCCCGGGCCUUGUACACACCGCCCGUCACACCAUGGGAGUGGGUUGCAAAAGAAGUAGGUAGCUUAACCUUCGGGAGGGCGCUUA
rnacentral:rRNA from 1 species